AGCGCCGGACAAAGUUGCCGACCUGGCGGCGGCCACGCGUUUGCGUGCGUGUGUAUGAGUGUGUGUGAGCGCGGCCGGAGAUGCGUGCGCGUGUGCGGGUGCUCCAGGGCAAUGGUCGAAAGGACUGUACAAUAUAAGAGCGAAUCCAAGCUCCAGUUGCUGUUAAAGGGGGACGGUGUGCUCUGGGACAGUGUCCCUGGGGCCCCUGGCUCGCGUCACACCCACAUCGGGUUGGGAAAGUUUCCUCUUUCCGCCGUUUGGAAUUCAGUGAGAUUCCCAGCCCAGAGGACUUGAUAAAUUGAAGCAGUUUCCUAGGCACAAUGAUGCUGUGGGCCAACUGAGCACACAUGGGAAUUCCUGGCCUUGUGACACUUUGCAUUAAAAAGAACCCCACGAUUGAAGAUAGGAGCAGAAGCACUAGAUACAGUAUUUGGUCUGAGCAACUGCCCUAUCUUCCCGCUUUGGUGGGCCGUGCAACACCUGGAGUGUCGUUUCUCGUCUUUCCCCUAAUCCAGACGCAUUCCAGGCUGGGCUGCAGGGAUCCAGGUGACAGUCAGGACUUGCAUCAUUUCCAGGAGGGUGGCAGGGAGGCCCAAGGCAGCCCUGAGUCAGCCCGCCGCGGAGCAUCGCGUGCCCGGAGGCCAGAGCUUGAAAGGCAACUUUACGCGUCUCCAAACACACUCCUGCAUUUUCUCAAAGCGCUGCUCGCCACCCCGCUCCGGGUUCCCUUUUACUCUCCAGUCAUCCGAUGGAAGUGGUGAGAACAAAAACAAAGACAAAAAAGCUAAAUCCGGGGAAGUUAUCUCCAUCUCCUCCCUUUUCUUGUUCGGCCCCCUCCCCAAGAACCGCCGGGUCGGGAUAGCCCCCGGCUACUUUCUCACCCGGCCCGUGGAGGGAAGGAGAAAGUUGGGCGCCGCUUGGAGCGCCUCUUCCCCUGCUGUGUGUGUACGUGUGCACGCUCACGUCUCCCCCGCGCCGGGGCCGGGGACAGGAACUGCUCUCGGUCCCGUCACCCCACGGCGCAGCUCGGGGGGCUCGCAGGGCUGGGGGAGGGCGGGGACACGAGCGCCGCGCCCAAGCGCCCCAGGGCACGCACCCGGCGUUGGCGCGCACUCGCCCCUCCCCCCGUCCCCACCCUCCUCCUGGAGAACAGAGAAAAGAAGAUGACCAUCUUCUCCUGAACAAAAUUAUGAACUGUCAGAGGUUUCAAAGGUAAUAAGUUUUAUGAUGCAAGUGGAAGAAGAACCAGAAGUAAUGAUGAGCUAGAACUUAUCAGAGAUUUCCUUGAAAUCAGGACUUGGUGUUUAUAAGAUGGGUCUGUCCCAGGCUUAUGCAUGACAGCUGGUGAGCAGUUAGUUGCAUGCAGAGGACAUUGCUCAUUUUGGGCCUAUCUACACUCAAAACCAGGAAAAUAUGCUGUGAAAAUUUGCUAUUACUAACGUCUCUAAUAAAGUUUUAAAAAACGAU
rnacentral:lncRNA from 10 species